rnacentral:rRNA from 1 species
CAGCAGCCGCGGUAAUACCGGCGGCCCGAGUGGCGGUCCCUAUUAUUGGGCUUAAAGCGUCCGUAGCCGGGUUGGGAAGUCCUCCGGGAAAUCUGGCCGCUUAACGGUCAGAAUGCCGGAGGAUACUCCCAGCCUAGGGAGCGGGAGAGGCCGAGGGUAUUCCCGGAGGAGGGGGGAAAUCCUAUAAUCCCGGGAGGACCACCUGUGGCGAAGGCGCUCGGCUGGAACGCGUCCGACGGUGAGGGACGAAGGCCAGGGGAGCAAACCGGAUUAGAUACCCGGGUAGUCCUGGCUGUAAACGAUGCGGACUUUGUGUCGGACAAGCUAUGAGCUUGUCCGGUGCCGGAGGGAAACCGUUAAGUCCGCCGCCUGGGGAGUACGGCCGCAAGGCUGAAACUUAAAGGAAUUGGCGGG